GAGCUGUGAGUGGAAGGAUACUAUGGUAGUAGCUGUACGUUCACAUUCCUGUGUGACUUGUGAAGUAUGCUUGUGAUGUGAAAUGAAUUCCGGAGGCCUAGAUGAAUAAUGUAUAAGAAGCUUGUAAGCCUCUGAUGAGUAGUUUCAUAAUUUCAGUAGUUUGCUCUUCGUUUAAGGUUGUACUGAACUAUGUAAGGGUGUGUAUGAACCAUG
rnacentral:lncRNA from 1 species